GACUAACGCUGGCGGCGUGCCUAACACAUGCAAGUCGAACGGGGCGAAGUCUUCGGACUUCGUUCAGUGGCAGACGGGUGAGUAACACGUAGGUAAUGUACCCUCUCGCUGGGGAUACCUGUCCGAAAGGGCAGUUAAUACCGAAUGAGCCGUUCCUGGGGCAUCUCGGGAACCGCAAACCUGCAAAGGGCGAGAGGAUCAGCCUGCGGACCAUCAGCUAGUUGGUGGGGUAACGGCCCACCAAGGCGACGACGGUUAGCCGGUCUGAGAGGACGAUCGGCCACACUGGGACUGAGACACGGACCAGACUCCUACGGGAGGCAGCAGUGAGGAAUCUUGCGCAAUGGGCGAAAGCCUGACGCAGCGACGCCGCGUGAGGGACGAAGGCCUUCGGGUUGUAAACCUCUGUCAGUGGGGAAGAGAACGGACGGUACCCACUGAGGAAGCAUCGGCUUACUACGUGCCAGCAGCCGCGGUAAAAC
rnacentral:rRNA from 1 species